rnacentral:rRNA from 1 species
AUUGAACGCUGGCGGCAUGCUUUACACAUGCAAGUCGAACGGUAACAGGGAGCUUGCUCCGCUGACGAGUGGCGAACGGGUGAGUAAUGCAUCGGAACGUACCCAGUCGUGGGGGAUAACGUAGCGAAAGUUACGCUAAUACCGCAUACGUCCUGAGGGAGAAAGCGGGGGACCGUAAGGCCUCGCGCGAUUGGAGCGGCCGAUGUCGGAUUAGCUAGUUGGUAGGGUAAAGGCCUACCAAGGCGACGAUCCGUAGCGGGUCUGAGAGGAUGAUCCGCCACACUGGGACUGAGACACGGCCCAGACUCCUACGGGAGGCAGCAGUGGGGAAUUUUGCGCAAUGGGCGAAAGGCCUGACGCAGCACGCCGCGUGUGUGACGAAGG